UAACAGCGCGGCGACGUCCUCCAGGUCCUCCUGCAGGUCGGGGAGGGGAGUGGAGGGAGGGCAGGUGCUGCUCACAGGUAAGCUCGCCCGGGCAUGUUCACGCUGCCGAGUUACGGUACGUGCAUCACGGACACCAGGGCCCCGACUGAAGUGGGGCAAGAGAACUCAGGUUCCUGCAAGUGCCUGCUUACAUUGACUGCUCUGGGCGCCUCGCUUGCCUCACCCUAAUCCUCACACUGGUGGACGCAUAAAUCUGGCGAGUCAGGUCUGGCGAGCGGUGUUACCAUACAGCACCAAGCCCCUGGGAGCCGGGGACCCUAAGACGGGUAAGAGUGCGCUAAAGGCGAAGGAAAUCAACAGAGAUUUACGAUCACAGUGAAGUAUGUAGUCUCUGCUGGUUGGAGCUUCUUCCUUGCACCCCCACCCCAAGAUACACUGAGCUGCUUCAGCUAGGUCUCUAAAUCUAAAAUUGGUGCUCUUUGGUAUAAGUAGAUGAGUUGCACUCUCUCCACCCCACUAAUAAUUUUUGUGAGUAUAAAUAUCCAGUGCAAUCUGGAAGUUUCUAAAAUUACCUAGAAAAAUAGCUUUGAGGAGCUCAGACACCACAAACACACACACACACACACACACACACACACAGGGUGCUAGAUUGAUAGGUAAUCCCUGCCCAAAGGAUCUACAAACCCAUAAAGCAGAUAAAUAAUUCAACAGUUAAAAAAAAUUACUAAAUGGAAUAGAGUCCGCUCUCAUGGGGACAAUUCCCCAAGCUUGACCCCUUUCUAUAGAAGCUUCAUUUCCUUCCAGAGAGCUUUCAAAGGUGGUUUACCUCUAGAAAUUUUCAUGAAGAAACUUCUGGGGCUGAUUAGAAGUGGUUGUGUCCUGAAUAAAUUACAAUUCCAGGUGCCUAUACAGUGUAAAAAGAGAAAAGAUCCCCCAAGGAGAUUCGAUGAUAGAAAAAGACUGACAUUGAAGCCAGACCAAGCUGAGUUGGAAUCCAUGACCUCCAUGGAGUUACCUCUUUUAGCCUUAGUUUUCUCACCUGCAAAAUGGGACCAAAUGGUACUACCGGCUGUGAUCAACUAUACGGAGAAAAACUGGCUCAAAGAGAUGUUAAGCAGCAUCCCCCAAAUCCUGACGGAGCUAGGAUCUGAAUGCCGGCAAUUUGGUUACUGAUCCAGAGCUCUCAGCCACUACAUUAUACCACUUACUUCAUGAUAGAUCCAGUCUCAUUUCUUCUACUUAACAAACCACUAGAGGUACAGCUUGGCAUGUGGAAUUCCAUUCCUGUUUUGUGUUCAUUUAGGGAUUGAUUCUCUCAUCACCACUCUGAGGGAAGCAGGGCCGGUGCUGGGGCCCCUAGCACUCAGCCAUAGGGCUUCCACACAAUAAUACGCCAUAAAUAUUUAUUGUUUGGUGAAUGAAGCCCAAUUUUACUGAGGAAGAAACAAACUCAAAAAGGAAGAGCCAAUCCUGAACUUGAACCAAGGUCUCGCGACUCCACGUCCAAUGUUCUUGCAAAGAUAGCCUGCUGCCUAAACUGUUGCUGUGAUAUGUACAUGCAACUUUACCAUCCGGUGGGAGGACGGAAACACUACAAGUAGGGUAUGGACAGUCCAUCAUCCUAUGGACAAGCAGCUCCAUUAGGAACACCCUGAGGGUUACAUCCAGGGAAAUUUAAACAGGGUCUUAUGCAACUUUGUGUGGUAUACUUAUAUAUAUAUUAUACUGUGCUA
ensembl:lncRNA